GACGAACCGAGCGAACGUUGUUCGGAAUCACUGGGCUUAAAGGGCGCGUAGGCGGGUUGCCGCGUCCGGGGUGAAAUCCCACGGCUCAACCGUGAAAUUGCCUCGGAUACGGGCGGCCUGGAGGGGGGUAGGGGCGGGCGGAACUCUGCGUGGAGCGGUGAAAUGCGUUGAUAUGCAGAGGAACUCCGGUGGCGAAGGCGGCCCGCUGGACCCCAUCUGACGCUGAGGCGCGAAAGCCAGGGGAGCGAACGGG
rnacentral:rRNA from 1 species